AUUGAACGCUGGCGGCAUGCUUUGCACAUGCAAGUCGAACGGCAGCGCGGGCUUCGGCCUGGCGGCGAGUGGCGAACGGGUGAGUAAUACAUCGGAACGUGCCCAGUAGUGGGGGAUAGCUCGGCGAAAGCCGGAUUAAUACCGCAUACGACCUGAGGGUGAAAGCGGGGGAUCUUCGGACCUCGCGCUAUUGGAGCGGCCGAUGGCAGAUUAGCUAGUUGGUGGGGUAAAGGCCUACCAAGGCGACGAUCUGUAGCUGGUCUGAGAGGACGACCAGCCACACUGGUACUGAGACACGGCCCAGACUCCUACGGGAGGCAGCAGUGGGGAAUUUUGGACAAUGGGCGAAAGCCUGAUCCAGCAAUGCCGCGUGUGUGAUGAAGGCCUUCGGGUUGUAAAGCACUUUUGGCGGGAACGAAAAGGACUGUGCCAAUACCACGGUUCGAUGACGGUACCCGCAGAAUAAGCACCGGCUAACUACGUG
rnacentral:rRNA from 1 species